AGGAUGUACAGUUGUUGAAAUGUCACCUUUAAGACGUGGGUAUUGAUUUACAGUUUGCAUUCCUAAGUACAGAGGAUACUGGACUAGCAGGGGAAAAAAAAAUCCAAUUUCUGCAUCUCAGUGAAGGAGAAGGCUAAGUCAUGUUUGGUAUCAUCUGUCAGAAGACUGUGGAAAAAAAAAAAAAAGAAGACUGUGGGUUGUGUGUGUGUGUGUGUGUGUGUGUGAGCACACACGUGCUAAUUCAGGAGUUUCGCAUUGAAUGACUUCCUUGAUGUGGUCUCUCUUUGGAAACUACAUCAGAAUACUUUAGAAGGUUGAGAAGUUUGCCUGCGGGAAGACGCCCUGAAGAGAAAAUGUUCAUAGACCUACACAGACCAGAGGGCUCAGGCCACCGGUGCCGUGCUGCUUCCGCUGAAUGGGUCAAAGAGAAGGCACGUCUUUCCUUUGGCAAAUCAGAUUGCAUUGUUUGAAGUCAUCUUUUUCCUUCUGUGAUUAUAAACAACACGAUUCUAUGUUGUCAGGUCAAUCUUGAAUUGGCCAAAUACCACCUUUUAUAAUAAAUGAUUUCAACAAGUUGUGCGAGGACAACACAGCCUGAGUGCCGAAGAUGAAAUGAUUUGUGAAGAACUUGGGUUAAAGGUCGAGAAGCAGAGCUGUGCUCUUCACAAGUUCAUGGAUCGGAGACCUCUUGGCGCGCCCUCGGGGAAGGGUACUUGAGCAGGAACACUAAGUGGAAAAGAACCUUCCUCAGGAAGGGCCCUCUGGGUCACUGAUGGCCAUUUCCAGGAGCAUCAAGACGUAAGCACCUCCCAUCCAGUGGGGAAAUUCGAACCCAUUAUCUCUUGCCCCGGAGGCGGUCCUGACCGGCAUGGAAGGAGACCCCGAUUUAGGCGAACGGCUGUUCUUCCUUGACGACAGAAGGGUAAACAGGCCUCCAGUUGGCCCUCAGCGAACCGAUCCUCGGAAAGGUCAUUUUCACCGAUUCCCUCACUGGGCACGGCGAGGAAAACACGCAUCCUUACUCCCCAGCCCUGCCCAGCUCCACCUAUACACUACAAAAUUUACGAGCAACCCAGAAAGAUCCUUCAGCAAUAAUUCCUACAUGGGCUCAACUUCUAGGUGCAGCCAGCUUUCCUUUAGACGUGCAGGGCCUCUGUGGACACCGUGGAUGGCAUGGGCAUACAAGAACUGA
rnacentral:lncRNA from 1 species